rnacentral:lncRNA from 1 species
ACAGAGAGAAAGACCACAUUCCCACUCCAAUCUCCCUCACAGAGGAGCCACAUUCAUUAGACGGUGAUGGUAUUGAUGUAAGAGCUGUUUUCUGUCUCUGAUUCCUCUUCUUCUCAUCCUCUCUCUUACCUGUAGGAAAGAGGUGAGACAGGGGUUUGGCGGGGGAAGGGAGGAGGCGCUGUGAGGUAGAAGCGAGCGAGUUGGACAAAGAAAAAAAAAGCUACGCUCCACUGGCUAGGGGAAGAGGGGGAGGAGAGAGAGGAGUCAUUACAGACCAUGUGGCAAAACGGCAAGCGUUAGAAUAGAGUAAACUAAGGAGGAACAGAUAGGUCAUCGUCAUGCCACAGAGGAACCAGCUUUAUCCACCGAUCCGGUCCAGUCCCUCUCCCCCUCUCCCCUCACCUUCCCCGCAAAGAAGCUAAACCCCUUCCCACCAGGUCGAGAAUCAUUAAGACCCCAGUGGUGGGUUAAGGGUAGACGGACAGACAGACGUUGGACAGAAAGCCCUUGCUCGUCCGGGAUUAAAAAGAGACUAAGAGAGGCAGAAGACCCAAGACUACGGUAAAGACAGCCCUCCUUCUUCCCGC